CUAGCGAACUUAUACAUAUAGAUAGUAUAUAUGUACAUACAUAUAUACAUAUAUAUUAUAUAUAUACAUAUAUACGCUAAAUGUAGACAUAGGCCGUGUAAACAGCGCGAAGCGCAACCUCAAACAACUACACACGCACACAUAUACACCAACACAAGCACACACACACAUACACGCGACACACUGUGUACUGCGACAUCUUUACAGAAUGCAUUGCGAGAAAUCUUUGGGUAACAAUUUUUUUGUGCUUGCAAAAAUCUUUUGGGUAGCCUGUAAUAAGUAAUAAAUUUUUAGUAUGUAACUGUGAUUCAACCAGUAAAAACAGACAAAAAACCAUGUAAUAUAAUUAACUAAUUGGUAAUGAAAGUAAGCAAAACUAAAAAAAAAAACUGAUUGAAAGAAAAUACCAAUGAAUAGUAAAAAUCUAUAUACGCUAAAUUUGUUUUGUCUUAGUUUGGGCUCAGCAAUAAUUAUAGAGUUAAUUGCCGGCAUAGCUAUUAAUGGUAAUCGUAAGCCAAUUGCUUUAUUAGUUUUGGGUCUCAUUUUCAUUUCGAUGUAUUCGCUGUAUUCGAUUUGUCGCUUGGUUUCUCUCAGUGUGCGUGGAAGUAAACAACCAUAGAGUACGAUAUUAAAAGAUGCCUGUCAGUACACCCCUGCCAGCCUCCCGCAACCGACUAGCAUCAUCCUCAUGUUUACGCCUUUCUCGGUGCUUCUCAUUUUGAUGAGGAGGACGAUGCCAGAUGGAAGAUGGAAGAUGGAAGCCUCCCUCUCUGACGGCAUAUUUGUUCGUGUAAUGUUGCAUACGUUAUGGCAUCUAGAACACCCGAACACACAUGCGUACACAUACACAUGUGUGUGGUGUGUCUGCCUUGGUAUUAUUAGCAAAAGGGCGCAUCAGAUGAAGGAGAAAGCAGCCAGAACAAAGUUUAACUUUCUUAUGUAAAUUUCUUUUUAUUACAAUACUCGUAUCUGAAAGAGAUGAAGAUGAAGAGGAAGAUGAAGAUGAAGAGGAAGAAGGAGGGGAAGGAGUUUUGCCGCUCUCCACCAUGAUACACUCAUAAUCCGCUAUGAUAUGAUACUGAUAUGGAUGAUGCCAUCACACCGACAGGCUGUGCCACAAGAGAUUAUUAUAAUUUAGUUACGAAGGCAAGUCGACGUCGACGUCGACGGAUCCGGCGACACUUGUGCGGCGAUUCCUCUUGCAAAAUAAUCAAAAAAUGCGCAGAUUUUCCUCGUAUGAUUUCAGUAUGUAAAGCGUGUAAACAGCGAUAGAGUAAACUUCAUAAAUGUCAAGCAACAUGAGCCCUUUCCUUUCCCUUGAAAUGUCCUGGCAUCGGGCAUCAGAGCACACAAGUCGUUUCCUCUCCUUUCAAAUUCCACUUUAAUAAGUAAGCAGGAGCUGAGUUCCAGUUGAGCUCUUGGUCCCAUCAAAAUGUUGCUGGUCUGUGCUGUGCCGUGCUGGGUUGUGCUGCUUUUGUGAAGCUUCCGUUUUUUGAUCUGCUGAUGACUGCCGAGAGCAGCUGAGUGCAAUGGCUCUGAAUAAACGCCGCCUGAAUUAUGCAACACGUUUAAGUGCCUGCAUUCCUUACACACAUGCAGCUCCUGCAGCUCUCGCUUCUUUUGUGGAUUCUUGUUUACACUGCCGCAGAGAUGGGUUGCUUGGCUGCCUGGCUCCUGCUGCAGAUAAGAAUGUUGACAGUAGCCAGAUAAAGCCGAAAAUUUACAAGUAAAUGAUAUUGUUUGGCCGGAGCAGCUGCUGCCCACUUUGUGGCUGAUUGCACUAUGCUUUUGUUCAGCAACACCAGAACACCUGUAACCUUCCUUCCCUUCGAAGGCCAUAAUGAGAUCCCCCCUGCUUAGAAACUUUUCUGCUAUGCAUAAAAUUAUAGAAGCUCAUAGAUAAACGCGGAUUUAAGACAUUCAGACAACAGUCUGAUGAUGAUUUAGGGAAAGACAAUUCAGGGGAGAAGGGGAUUACACCUGGAGUUAAUUCAAAAACAAAGGUGGAACGAUUUAUGCAACAUUCAAUCCAUUUUGUAGGAUCUUCCAACCUGCUGUUUAUCAUGAGCAAUUGCGGAAGUUUUUUAGAGACCUCUACUUGCAUCUUGUUGAGUGGAAUCAUCAGAAAAGUUCCCAUCUCAGGACACACUUCACUCCAUCAAAUACUUCUCGGACACAAUACAACCCCCAACUGCUAGAUCCCAGAAUUCAGAUGCUAUGGACAUCACAUCAAUUGACAGCCAAUAGCUUCAUUCAGAUACUACACAAUAGAUUCCCCCACGAAAGCUAUUUUAAAAUUUAGCCCCACUCCAAAAUCAUAAAUAAAUGAAAGCAAUAGCAAUGGAUGGGGACAUAAAAGCCAAUUUCAUAGUCCGCCAAGUGAUUUAUUGAGACAGAGAGGUUACUUCUUCUGCCCUCUAGUCCUCUGCUAUACCAUACACAUCUCUUCUAUGCAGAGCGGCAGCUUUUAUUUAUCGCUAAACUAAUAAAUCUUGGCGUAAAAAUGGAAAAUAUUGUAUACGCCAUGUUGUGCUGAGUCCUGGAAGCCUGGCUAGAAAAAACAAGGCCAGAGCAAAAACUCAUAAGUGGCGGCGGUUUAAGCAGCGGCCACAAAAAGUUUAUAUCAAUAUAAAUUUCAUAUUAAAUAAUGGCUUAACGAUUUAUUUGUUUAUUCGUUUCCGGCUUCCAACCAAUUAACUCUAACGAACUGCAAACUACAAAAAAAACCCGACCGACAAUCAUAAAAAAUGCACAGACACGCUGCGUGUCAAAGUACAGUGGGCCUUCGAGUUUUAAUUGCCAAAUCGAGGACGGGGUCGGGCCAGUGGUUGCCUCCGUCCUGCCACAGGAGCAGCACAAAAUUUGGGUUUAAUGUCAUUGCGUGAGUGGAUCCCAUUAGAGCAGAGCAGAUCGCACACCUUGAUGAUUGGCAGCGCCCAAAAAAGAGACGAUUACAACCCACAACCUGCAACCUACAGCCGAACUGCCAG
rnacentral:sRNA from 1 species